rnacentral:rRNA from 1 species
GUGGGGAAUCUUCCACAAUGGACGAAAGUCUGAUGGAGCAACGCCGCGUGAGUGAAGAAGGGUUUCGGCUCGUAAAGCUCUGUUGUCGGGGACGAAUGUGCAGUAUUUGACUAAAGUACUGCAAUGACGGUACCUGACGAGGAAGCCACGGCUAACUACGUGCCAGCAGCCGCGGUAAUACGUAGGUGGCAAGCGUUGUCCGGAAUUAUUGGGCGUAAAGGGAGCGCAGGCGGGAAGGUAAGUCGGUCUUAAAAGUGCGGGGCUCAACCCAGUGAUGGGAUCGAAACUAUCUUUAUUGAGUGCAGGAGAGGAAAGUGGAAUUCCUAGUGUAGCGGUGAAAUGCGUAGAUAUUAGGAGGAACACCAGUGGCGAAGGCGACUUUCUGGACUGUAACUGACGCUGAGGCUCGAAAGCCAGGGGAGCGAACGGGAUUAGAAACCCCUGUAGUCC